UCAUACGAGGUCAUUUCCAAC
rnacentral:piRNA from 1 species